UGGACUGGCGUGGCGCUCAGGCCUCUGCGUCUCUCUCUUCCCGUGUAUGCAGAGUCAGCUGCCCUGCCCUCGCCUGUGAUUCUAAAAUCAACACAACCAAAUCCACACUCGUCGCUGGCUUUCCCUGCCCUGCUGUGGAGCACAUGAACCCGGGGACGCAUUCGGCUUUCCUUUGAUAGGGGAAGGCAGCCCAAACAGCACCCAGACCAAGAGCCUGGAUCAGGGAUCCUGCUGCCUGAGACUUUCUAACUAGGCCAAGAAAUGAGGACACUGAACUACUUCUUCUUGAGAUGACGGAAUCUUGCAAGUUUAUUUAUUGUUUCCUGGGGGAGGAGACACAGUCUGUUGGAACUGGAAGUGAUGAGAGAUUGCCAUCCAAUUCCAUAGGAGGCCAAUGAGAGGUUACAUGAAGGGAGGACUCUACUGGUAGACAGUCCUAGAAACCCCAGGCUAAAGUGAAACUCAGUAAUUUUGUUUUUAAACUGCAGGUCCUCUCAGCGCAUUCAAUAUUUUGCUUGUUAUCAAUAAGGGGAUGUAGCAGCCACAUUUCCCAAUUUUUUUGGCCAUUUUUUUCCUCUGACAGCAUUUUUAGGACCCGUGUCCCCCUGAACACAUGGAGGGAUGGAGCAAUUGAAUGUCAUGCCCUGAUUUCACAGAUGGGGGCAGGGAGGCUCAGCAAGGAAAGUCAGGUGGAGCAGAGACCCAUUCCCUGCCCCUGCCUUGGGGCUCUUUUCGAAACUCUGCCCUGCUCACAUCUGCCCCAAGACACUCUGCCUCCAUGAAAGUGCAGGUUAUUUUACAGUUUGGAGGUGACACUGGACCCCUUGGAAAUCAGAGAAUGUGCACUUUCUUGGCAAAAUAUCCAAGGUAAGGGAGAGUAUAAAUGUGAAUGAGAAUGCUGAGUGUCGGAAGACAUUUGUUUUUUGUUUACAUCUAGGACCAGACCAGAGGGAGUGAGGUCUAUCUAUCCCACGAAGAAACUGAGAUGCAGCUUAUGAAAUAGAGGCUGACAAUGGCUCACCCACCUCCUUUGUAAGAGCCUGGUGUGUGCUACAGGAGCAUGGCCCAUAUACGUGUCAGGUUGAAGGACAACUCAGGAGCUGUCCAAGGCUCAACUUGGCCCCACUUGCCCCAUCUGGCAGCCUGGACCGAGCAUUGUUCAUUGAGUCCCACACCCACAUGGCCCCAGAGUCAAACCGCCUUUCAUGCUGAAGAAUGGAACUGACACUCCCAGCAACAUCUCCCCCAACCAUGCCCAUCUGUUAAUCCAACUUAAAAAGAAGGAAAAAAAAAUGACAAUGGAAAUGGAAA